UUAACCACAUAAUGAAUCAUGCUCUUACAAUAUUGCUGUGACAUUGGGCCAAGUUAUUGCUACAUCACGAGAAUAUUAUGUGUUAUGGUACAAUUGGAACAAGUCAAACUGACUACGUCCAAAGGGGUUUUUGUUGACUCUCAAUAGAAACUGUCUCAAUUGUUAGAUACACAGUGUGUAAUGAUGCUACAAUGCAGGGGAAGCUUCCUUCUAGGGACACAAAACAUGGGCAUUGUUCAGACUUAGACCUUUGGAAAUUAACUGAGUAACCUUCCAAAAGAAGCCAAUGAGUUUUAGUAAUAUAUGAUGUAAUAUUACAUCCUAAUAUCUUAAAUUACAAUUAAGUGGAUGUGUCGAUAAAAGGGAAAUGGCAAUAUUAUCUGAUCAUCCCUUUCUCUAGUGAUGCUUAAUGUUAAUGGAUGGAAGAAAAUAAUUGCGCUUGUUCUAGUAAUGAGUAGAAAAUGUGUACAAUCAUAAUUAAGAUUCACAUGUACAAAAUGUAUAAAAAUGGACCCAUAUGUUUAUGUGAAUUAAGAAUUUUAAGUUCUUUUCAUUUUCUGUUUACAACAAAACGCAAAUUGUAACCUGGACUCUCGUUCGCGAACUACUGAAUUUUUGAAAUGUUUUGCCGAGUGACUAUUCUAUCUGCGUACAGUUUAGUAACCUAUUAGGGCAUGCACAAUAAAAAAAUUUAAACAGUUUGACAAACCAAAAUUUUUAUUGUGAUCUGUGUUCUCUUAACGGUAGCCAACAUUAAUUCUGUGUAUUCUAUAUUUUCCCUUCUGACUUUACACUCCAUAAUAGGCCUACGUAUACAGCACGAACUUCUCCGGAGUGGAAAAAUUAUGGUCGUUUUAACAAUAUUUUACGGUAAACACAAGCAGUUUUCCAGAAUGUCAUUGGUGAUACAUAAAAAGGCAGUACUAAUCUGGAAACGACAGAAAAGCUACCGAUGAAGGGGCGCUCUCGUUCCAUCUCGCUGUUUCUAUGUUGAGCAGAAUAAAACACUGUAAAUCGAGCCUAAAUGGGCAGACGCACAAUUAACCAAUGGUAUCGUCAGAUAACUGAAUCGCAGGUAUCCGCGCAACAUGCAUACAGCCUAAUUUACUAGACCCUAUGACCAGGGGUUGAACCGUUCUGUGGGUUGAAUGAUCUUGAUUUUACUUACAAAUACCGAAAGAAAAAACAAAGACGUGAAGGACAUUGCAUUGUCUUUACAGAAAUGACAGGCUGUAACGUGGAAAACGCUUCCUUUGGACUGACAGUGUGUGCAGAGAGGACAGCAAUACAGAGAGCUGUGGCUGAGGGGCACAGGCAUUUCACUGCUAUUGCUGUCACCUGUGAUAUUAAAGACAGUUUUGUGG